AGCCAGCACAAAAACACACAUUGCAUCCAACAAACUUUUCUUGACCGACCUGAUUAACCAAACUCAGGUGUGGAGGUUUCAACUCAACAAAGCAAAAUACAUAAACAAUAUCGCAGAAUUUCAUCUACUUUCUUCACAAAUCAAGGGUCAUAUCAGAUGUCAGGAAGAAACCGUUAUCCUCGUGACGCAUAUGACAACCGGCAUGGGUAUAUCUCAGGAGGGCCUCCAUCGCGGGCCCCUAUGCCUCGACCUAUGCCACCUCAUCCUGCCAUGCUGGAGGAAGAACUUGAAAUCCAACAUCAUGAAAUACUUAGGCUUUUGGGUGAAAACAGGAGGUUAGUUGAAGACAGAAUUGCUCUACAACGAGAUUUGGGUGCUGCCAAAGAGGAACUUAGGCGAAUGAAUAAUGCAAUUGCUGAUAUUCAAGAACAAAAUGAAAUACAUUCGAGAAAGCUGAUUGACAAUGCUUUGAAACUAGAAGCUGAUCUUCGUGCCACUGAACCUUUGAAAAAUGAGGCUGCACAACUUCAUACUGAAGUUGAGAGGCUAAAUUCUAUAAGGCGUGAUUUAUCUGGGCAGGUUCAGAUUCUCAAAAAAGACCUUGCAAAACUGCAAACUGAUACUAAGCAACUUCCAGCUUUAAAAGCCGAGCAUGAGAGAAUUCUCCAGGAGCUUUUGCAUACUAGAGCUGCUAUUGAUUAUGAGAAGAAAGGAAAUAUAGAGCUGAUGGAACAAAGACAAGCAAUGGAGAAGAACUUGGUUUCUAUGGCGCGUGAAGUUGAAAAGCUCCGUGUGGAACUUACAAAUACUGAUGCUGGACCACACAGUGCUGGUGGGUCAUAUGGGAUGAAAUAUGGAAGCUCAGAUGACCGUUUUCCUCCUCCUUAUGGCGACGGAUACAACGUUCACCUGAUGAACAUUGUUCUAGACGUGAAAUGCAUUUCUUUAUGGUUUGGCAAGGCAAGUAUGAUUUAUAUCUGAAGUACGAAAAUAGGCUUACAGCAAUCUUCAUGGUUGUCUCAGUUUUCACGAGAAGCUAUCCUGAAAAGGAAAGUGGCCGCCACUGUCUACACUGUUCUCAGCAAUCCCCUAUUGUGUUACAUUAGCAGGGUAGCUGACAAGAUCGAGGCCCUCCCUGUCAACGACCUUAUCAGCUGAAUAAAUCUGCCACAUAAGCAUCCCGAGUUGACACACCAUCACCACACAUCCCAAACUUCUCGGUUCUUCCAUUAUGUUCAUACCACAAUGGCAUAUGGUUUGACUUUUAUAACAAGUGAUGAGAAUUAAUAUUGACUUUCCCGAGGUUAGAACAAUUUGUCUUGAGGGUGAUUAGUAUUGUUGUAUUUGUUGCGUGAGCACAAGGAUCAUGUAAGGUUUUCCAGUUGGAUUUGUGCACUGGAAAAGGUAAACUUUAAUCAGUACUUUCAUUUACCCUUGUUAUUUUGAGGACUAAUACCGUAGAGGUGGCAAAACGGGUGGGUUGGAUAAUGGGCCACUAACGGUUGGAUUUGGUUGAACCAAUACACUUUACCCAUAACUUUUAAUCCAUUUAUAAACAUUUAGUGUGCCAAAUAGGAUCAAUUUAUGUUAUUUCAGUGAUGUUUGGGGUGGUUUUAUAAACUAAGCAUACACUUUGAGCUGUUUUUAACCACUCAUAUUCUGAUAUCUACUUAAAAUUUUUAACAUUAUUUAUGUAUAAUUUGGUUCAAAAGCUAUAUCGAACAUCAUAUCCAACAAUGUAAAUAACGUUCUCUGAAGUUUGGAGGAAAACAUAAUAUAUGAUUGGUGUGAUUAUAACAUCAGACCAUUCAAACUAAA